CGAUGCCGCCGGGGUAGUGUCGACCCGCCGUCGCCGACCCCGAUCCACUGUCGGUUGAGGGUUUCUGCCACUCCUCAGCCUUACCGUCGGCCCUUCUCCUCUUUCGAGCGUCGGCCACCGACCAAACUCCUAUGCCCUAGACCUGCCGAAGCUCUCCAAGACGGUGCCCUACCUGGUUUGUUUCGGCGCCACCGGGUCAAAUCGGAUGCCACCACUGAUCGCCGGAGUGGAAGGGUUAUCCGGACUGCAAGGGUGUUCUGCCGAGCCACAACCAGUCUCUGUUGUGUUUGCUGCCACCACCAGAGAAGAGGAAAUUAGGGAAGAAUUCAGCAGAGAGGACGUUCUGUUCCAUUCUGUUGAGAUCUGUGGAUUUGCUUGGUUCCAGCAUCAACAGUAGGUUGUUUGCUGUGGAAAGUUGCUGUUGUCGAUCACCACUUCCUCCUUCUUGAUCUGGUUGAUUUGAGGACAUUGACGCGAGACGAGUAUCUCGACGUCCGGAUCUGGAUUGAUUGGACCAUUUCUUU